AUCAACUUCAUACACAACUCUCCGUGAGCUUGCAUGUGAUGAUAAAUAAAGACCGAAGCCCUUUUCCUUGUAAAAUAACAAGUUCAAGUGAGUAAAGUGAGUGAACAUAUGAUUGUGUUUGUUUGACAUUUUCUGUGCCAAUACGGACAGUAUACAUGUUUGUAUGUAAGAACGUGAUGUUUGACAAAUCAACCAACGGUACUGAUGCGCCGCGCUUGUGAAGUGGCGUGCGGGACCCGUGCGAGGCGAAAGCCUUUCGUUGUCUCUUCAUACGCGGUGGACGCUGACAGCGAAAUUCGACGGUACCACUCUGAAGAUGAACGGACAUCACAACAGCCACAACUUCUGCGGAUUCAAACUGAAAAUGGAAGAUUGUGGGGAUUCGUAAUAAAAACGCCAUAAACUGUGGUGAAAUAAAAAUACUCGGAAAAAGUGAGUGCGAAAAUGCGAUUAGUGCGUUGUGUGAACAGUGUGCGUGUUCGUGUGUGUUUGUGAGGGUGCCUGAGGGGGGUGCAAAUGCGAAGGCGGCG